GGCCGAAUUUCAAACAGCUUUCAAAUUUCCCUUUUCACCAGCACUACAAACGCCGCUAUUCAUGGCGGGUAAAUUUGGCGCUGGGUCUAGUUCUGCUCUCUCGCACAGUCUAACCAAGUUCAUCCUCCAUUUCACAUGCCAAAUUGCGCGAAGAAGCGUUUUACUCUGGCGUUUCUUGAGCUCCGCAAUCUCCGAAAAAAUGGAGCGGCAACGAGGACGGUUUUCAGAACAAUAGCCGUGAGGUUAAGGUGCGAAAACCGAAAAGCUGGAAUCUCUAACAACAGCAUCCAGCAAUAACACUCUGUUCAGAUUCGAGAAACCACCGGAGAAAGCUGUUUUGUUUUUUUCCCUACGAACUCUAGGGCAUACUGUCCGGCCACUACUCACUCACUCUCCAGAGGCCAUUGAUGGCUGGUCGAGGAACUGCAUGGCCUUGUUCAUUGUUUUUCUGUUCGAACCCGCUGCUUCAACUCGGUUUUCACUCGGUAGAUUAGAAGGCACUUGGACGGCCAUGCACGGGUGACAUCCAUUACACUUGUUGUGGCAACUCGGCGGAGUCGAUCCAAGCCUGGUCUUAUCCUCGAUCAACAAUUCCUAUAAGCAAGAAAAAAACCCAGAUGCAUUAACUCCAUUAUAUAAUGCACGCAUCUCACAUGCAUACCUUUUUAUGUACCCUACAUACACACACAUCAUGGGUAAGAGAGAGAUAGAAAUGCUUACACGAGGAGAGGGAGGGGGCUGAAGAUGAUCAUGGGUAAGGGAACCGAGUACAGGAGAGAGAAGGAGAAGAAUGAUGGAGAAUGUGAUAGUUUUUGUGUAAAUAGAGAGCACCGAGUUGAGUGAAUUCAUAAUGAGUUCCAGACUCAUGAAUAUGUGGCCGAGUGAAGACCAGAUGAAGCCAUUAAUGAAGAAACCUGAGAAAAAAAAAAUGAACGAAAUCCCAAAUUGUACAG